GGGUCAGUGAUGACAAUCCAAUGUCAUGAAUAGAUGUGAUGACAAAAAAUGAUGAUUUAGGUGUACGCUGAGGUUC